ACCAACAGAAAAAAAAAACAUCAUGUCGGAUGUGGCCGAUAUUUCUAGAUGGGAAACUCACACUCACUGUUCCGAGAUCUAUGUUCAAGUGCUUCGACUCUGGAAACAUGUCAACUUCUUUGGUGAUACAUCCUCUCGGACGAAAGGGUGAUCGCAUUGCUGCAACUGUUAUGAUCGAUGAAGUUCCUCUGCAUGGUGUCGUAUUGAAACAGGAUUCUUGGUUUAAGGUUCGUCAUUUUAUUCACUUGCCCUACGCUCUCAUCAUCCAUGCUCUGACUUUUUGUGCAAUCCGGUUGAUGACGAAAUUGACAAGUUCAGGGUAAAACGAUACCGUCUUCGUGAUUAAAGCAUCACCACCGGCGUGCACUUAUUGCUUACUUCUAUUUUCUUUAUCUAUAUAACUAAUGCUAUUAAGACACUUACCUUAUAACGACUGUUGCUUAAUCUCCUAUUUUGGUUAGAAUAUAUACAUCA